UGGGACCCGGACCGCCGGGGGUCGCGUAACUAGUUAGCACGGAGGAGUCUCGUUCGUUAUCGGAAUUAACCAGACAAAUCGCUCCACCAACUAAGAACGGCCAUGCACCACCACCCACAGAAUCGAGAAAGCGCUAUCAAUCUGUCAAUCC